rnacentral:misc_RNA from 1 species
CGCACAUUGCGCCCCUUGGUAUUCCAUGGGGCAUGCCUGUUCGAGCGUCAUUUGUACCCGCAAGCACUGCUUGGUGAUGGGCGUUUGUUCCGCUGCGCGUGCGAACUCGCCUCAAAUGCAUUGGCAGCCAGCCGUCCCGUGGGUGCGCGCAGCACAUUUUUGCGCGCGCCACGGCGGACGGCGGCGUCCACAAGCCCACUAUGUCACGCUUGACCUCGGAUCAGGUAGGGAUACCCGCUGAACUUAA